CUUCCUCUCCCCUUUAGGUCUUGCUGAUUUCUGUCCUCCAGGUCUUCUCAGUAGAACGAGGAUAAUCCUGAAUUCAGAACAUAUUUCCUGAGUACCGAGAGUGCCCGGGAGAGGAGGGCCGAGAGCUGGCUCCUGUGCUCCUGAGAGGAUGGUUCCCUGGGUAGGAGCAGAGAGAAGGCCCAGAGGAAGAUGGGAGAGAGGCAGGGCAAAGGAUGCUAUGGAGAUAGCCCAGAGCUGGGCCGCAGGUAUCUCUGCAUAACUCUGAAGAGUUUUGAAGAUGCGAAGUCCUUCCUCUCUGCCCAUCCAGGGAAGCUUCUGGCCACCCUCAGGGUGAGUCGGCAGUGGCGAGUGGAAGUUCCUCAACUUCAUUACAGCUGUGAGGCCUCGAAUUGGCUCUCACCACUCUGGGCAUCCUUUUUUGUAAAACGGAGCCAGUAAUUUCCAUUCUUCUGGUUGUUGUAGGCUGGCAAUGAGGGCAUCCACAGAUGGCACCUGGCCCACUCAUCAAAUGGCAGUUACCCUCUCUCGUGAUGAUUGUCAGCGUCUAGUGUGAAAGAUGGGAAGGGUCUCUACAUCUAUUCUUUCUUUCUUUAUUUUUUUCUUUAAGAGAUAUAAUUGCCCAGGCUGGUCUUGAACUCCUAGACUUGAGCCAUCUGCCUACCUCAGCCUCCUAAAGUGCUGGGAUUACAGGUGUGUGCCCCCAAGCCCGGCCUGCACUGCAUUCCUAUUCCGAUGUUACAAGGUGGAUGGGGCCAUGAUAGAGGUUUGAGCCAGCAAGGAGGGUGUGGCACGAGGCCUGAUGGCUUCCUGGAGGAGGAGGUGUUUGAAUUAGGCCAUCGGAGACAGAACAGACUCACUGGGAAGGUAGCUGUGUGUGCCAGGUGCACCAGCCGGGCUGCCAGGCGCUGAUUUGUAGAAAUUCUCUGGGGGGUUCUCUGAGUGAGGAAGAAGGAUCCUGUGGGGCCUGGGCAAGGCUAGAAGUGCAGCCUGGGAAACAGGCUCAGCAGUACAAGUACAGCUUCUUCCUUUCUUUUUCUUCUGCUUGUUGAAGCCUGAUUUACAUAUAUCAAAUGCACCAGUCGCAAUGAGUUUUAAAAAUAUGUAUUGGCAGCUUUAUGGAAGUAUAACUGAAGGAUAACCUGCAUGCAUUCAAAAUGUACAAUUUGGCCAGGUACGGUAGCUCAUACCUGUAAUCCCAACACUUUGGGAGGCCAAGGCAGGUGGAUCACCUGAGGUCGGGAGUUCGAGACCAGCCUGGUCAACAUGGUGAAACCCCAUCUUUACUAAAAAUACAAAAAUUAGCCAGGCAUGAUGACACGUGCCUGUAAUCCCAGCUACUCAGGAGGCUGAGGCAGGAGAAUCUCUUGAACCCGGGAGGUAGAGGUUGCAGUGAGCAGAGAUUGUGCCAUUGCACUCCAGCCUGGGCAACAGAGCGAGACUCCUUCUCAAAAAAAAAAAAAAGUACAAUUUGAUGAUUUGGGGCAGAUGUGUCCAUCCGUAGAACCAUCACCACAGUCAAGAUAAUGAAUAUAUGCAUCACCCCAAAAGUUUCCUCUUGCCCCAUGUAAUCCCUCGCUCCCUCUCUCCCCAUGUAAUCCCUCCCUCCCUCUCUCCCCAUGUAAUCCCUCCCUCCCUCUCUCCCCAUGUAAUCCCUUUCUCCCUCCCUCAGGCAACCACUGUUCUGAUUUCCAUCACUAUAGAUUAGCUGCUAUUUUGUAGAAUUUUAUAGAAAUUGAAUAAUAUAGUAUUACUCUUUUUUGUUUAGCUUUUUAAAAAAACUCGUCAUUAUGGCUGGGCGCAGUGGCUCAUGCCUGUAAUCCCAGCACUUUGGAAGGCCAGGGCCGGCAGAUCACUUGAGGUCAGAAGUUUGAGAUCAGCCUGGCCAACAUGGCGAAACCCUAUCUCUACUAAAAAGACAAAAAUUAGCUGGGCGUGGUGAUGUGCACCUGUAGUCCCAGCUUCUCCAGAGGCAGGAGAAUUGCUUGAAUCCAGGAGGUGGAAGUUGCAGGGAGCGGAGAUAGUGCCACUGCACUCCAGCCUGGGCAACAGAGCAAGAUGCCAUUUCAAAAACAAAAACAAUGGCGAGGGGCAGUGGCUCAUGCCUGUAAUCCCAGCACUUUGGGAGGCCGAGGCAGGUGGAUCACCUAAGUCGGGAGUUCGAGACUAGCCUGAUCAACAUGGAGAAACCCCAUCUCUCCUAAAAAUACAAAACUAGCCGGGUAUGGUGGCGCAUGCCUGUAAUCCCAGCUACUCGGAAGGCUGAGGCAGGAGAAUCACUUGAACCCAGGAGGCGGAGGUUGCGGUGAGCUGAGAUCGCGCCACUGCACUCCAUCCUGAGCAACAAGAGCAAAACUCCAUCUCAAAAACAAACAAAUAAACAGAAAAAAAAAAAACA
rnacentral:lncRNA from 1 species